CGGGGAUUGGCCUAAUUGGUAAGGCGCUCGCUUCGGGUGCGAGAGUAUAGCGGUUCAAGCCCGCUAUCCCCGA
rnacentral:tRNA from 1 species